rnacentral:rRNA from 1 species
CCAGACUCCUACGGGAGGCAGCAGUGAGGAAUAUUGGUCAAUGGUCGGGAGACUGAACCAGCCAAGCCGCGUGAGGGAUGAAGGUACAGAGUAUCGUAAACCUCUUUUGUCAGGGAACAAAGGCGGGGACGCGUCCCCGGAUGAGUGUACCUGAAGAAAAAGCAUCGGCUAACUCCGUGCCAGCAGCCGCGGUAAUACGGAGGAUGCGAGCGUUAUCCGGAUUUAUUGGGUUUAAAGGGUGCGCAGGCGGGGCUUGUUAGCACCGCGGAGACCCCCGGGGGCCCCCCCCCGCCCCGCCGUUGAAACUGGCAGUCUCGAGUUGGAGAGAAGUAUGCGGAAUGCGCGGUGUAGCGGUGAAAUGCAUAGAUAUCGCGCAGAACUCCGAUUGCGAAGGCAGCAUGCCGGCUCCACACUGACGCUGAGGCACGAAAGCGUGGGUAUCGAACAGGAUUAGAUACCCCCGUAA